rnacentral:rRNA from 1 species
GGAGGAUGCGAGCGUUAUCCGGGAUUUAUUGGGGUUUAAAGGGUGCGUAGGUUGUUCGGUAAGUCAGCGGUGAAACCUGAGCGCUCAACGUUCAGCCUGCCGUUGAAACUGCCGGGCUUGAGUUCAGUGGCGGCAGGCGGAAUUCGUGGUGUAGCGGUGAAAUGCAUAGAUAUCACGAGGAACUCCGAUUGCGAAGGCAGCUUGCCAUACUGCGACUGACACUGAAGCACGAAGGCGUGGGUAUCAAACAGGAUUAGAUACCCUGGUAGUCCACGCAGUAAACGAUGAUUACUAGGAGUUUGCGAUAUACCGUCAAGCUUCCACAGCGAAAGCGUUAAGUAAUCCACCUGGGGAGUACGCCGGCAACGGUG